rnacentral:rRNA from 1 species
CCUACGGGUGGCAGCAGUGAGGAAUAUUGGUCAAUGGACGCGAGCCUGAACCAGCCAAGCAGCGUGCAGGAUGACUGCUCUAUGGGUUGUAAACUUCUUUUAUACAGGAGUAAACUGAGGUACGUGUAUCUGUUUGAAAGUAUCUUCUGAAUAAGGAUCGGCUAACUCCGUGCCAGCAGCCGCGGUAAUACGGAGGAUCCGAGCGUUAUCCGGAUUUAUUGGGUUUAAAGGGUGCGUAGAUGGGUUGAUAAGUCAGAUGUGAAAGUUUGCGGCUCAACUGUAGAAUUGCCAUUGAUACUGGCAGGCUAGAGUACAGUUGAGGUAGGCGGAAUGCGUGGUGUAGCGGUGAAAUGCUUAGAGAUCACGAAGAACACCGAUUGCGAAGGCAGCUUACUAAACUGCCACUGACGUUGAGGCACGAAAGUGUGGGGAGCAAACAGGAUUAGAUACCCCUGUAGUC